rnacentral:rRNA from 1 species
AUACGGAGGGUGCAAGCGUUAAUCGGAAUUACUGGGCGUAAAGCGCUCGUAGGCGGCUUGUUAAGUCGGAUGUGAAAGCCCCGGGCUCAACCUGGGAACUGCAUUCGAUACUGGCAAGCUAGAGUAUAGUAGAGGCAAGUGGAAUUCCGGGUGUAGCGGUGAAAUGCGUAGAUAUCCGGAGGAACAUCAGUGGCGAAGGCGACUUGCUGGACUAAUACUGACGCUGAGGAGCGAAAGCGUGGGGAGCAAACGGGAUUAGAAACCCGGGUAGUCC